rnacentral:rRNA from 1 species
AGCGAACGCUGGCGGCAGGCUUAACACAUGCAAGUCGAGCGCCCCGCAAGGGGCGCGGCUGACGGGUGUGUACCACGUGGGAACGUACCCUUUGGUUCGGAACAACCCAGGGAAACUUGGGCUAAUACCGGAUAAGUCCGCGAGGAGAAAGAAUUAUCGCCGAAGGAUCGGUCCGCGUCUGAUUAGCUAGUUGGUGUGGUAACGGCGCACCAAGGCGACGAUCAGUAGCUGGUCUGAGAGGAUGAUCAGCCACACUGGGACUGGGACACGGCCCAGACUCCUACGGGAGGCAGCAGUGGGGAAUAUUGGACAGCGGGGGCAGCGCUGAAGGAGCCAGGCCGGGUGAAUGAUGAAGGCACUGGAGUUGUAAAGCGCUAUCGGUGGGGAAGAUAAUGACGGUACCCACAGAAGAAGCCCCGGCUAACUUCGUG